UCUAGGAUGACCCUGCUUGAGCAGGGAGGUUGGACCAGAUGACCCACUGUGGUCCAUUCCAACCUGACCCGUUCUGUGAUUCUUCAGCGGGAGUGAAGCUUUGUGACCUUUGCAACCCGUGUGUGUAUGCAGCUCUCCUUGUUUUCCUCUGGGCAAAGCCAGAGUGAAUCCUUCAUUGAGAACUUUUUAGAUAAACACAGACAGGGCAAGAACAAGGGGAUGUGGAACAGUUGGGUCCCAGGUACCCUCUGUGUCACCAGCAGUGUCUCUCUGAAAUCUAAAAGCAUUACAAACAGCAAUUUUUAACUCAUUUCUAAAGCAAGCUCUUGAAUAAUGAGCAUGAACUCUUCAGUAUCUGUUGCUUGUAGUAAUGCAGGGAGCUUAGGCCUGAUGGCUACCUGGGAGUUUCCUUCUGGAGGACACCAUUCAUCAUCGUAACAGUUAAUAUUUCACAAAGAUUCUGGUCUCUACAAUAAUCAUUUUCCCACAUUUUGUUUGCUGUAAAUCAUGUACUUUGUUGUUUGCCUACCUGUAAUGCACCAUGGUUCUGUUCCCUGUUCAUAAACACAGAGAGGUGGAAAACAUCCUUGAGUUUUGACGUGCUGUGGUUUUCAAACUUGGAAAUCUUGAAAAAAAAAAGAAGAAUCCAAAGAAGAAUACAUUUUUUUACUGUGCUUUGACGCUCAGUCUGCUCAGCAUUGCCAGCCAAAUACUGCAAGAUUGCUCCUGGGUUUGGAAAUGAACCUUACCUGUGGUUACAGAAUUGAAAACUCUUUCAGAUCUGCUGGGUACAAGAAUUGGGAACUAUACACAUGCCUGGAUCUCAGCUUGUAUGAAAAUUAUGGAAGUACUUCCAGACACCUAGUAACCUACAGACAAUCUGCUAAUCACAAAGCAACACCAGAGAGGAGCCCUGAGGCUGCUGAAUGAUACCGUUACUACAGGAGAUUUUCCAUCAGCUGAAUGGAUGUUAGUUCCUUUGUGUUAGGGGUGGCCUUUAUGUAGCAGGCACUGCAGUCGUAUCUAUAAAACACAGAAAAUAAUUGUAGAAAUAGCUACACUCACUAUACUCACGUAAGUAGCAUGGAGGCCAGCACACUAUGUAGGUGUGCUCACACUGCCGCAGCUACUCUGCUGGCAUGGCCAACGUAAUUUGUAGCUAACUCAGCCCAGCCUAGAAAAGACUCAAUAUGACCAAGUACUUCCGAGGUCCUCCAGCACAACUGCCUGCAAAGAUAACUGAAGUGUGACUCCUUCAUUCUUUUACAGGCAGUUCUAUAAACCAUGAGGAUUACAAAUUUCUAUGGAAGAGAUCCAGAUGAUGAACUGUUUGGUGUAGAGGCCUUGAUUUACCUUACGUGUUGUACUCAUCUUUAUUGCUUUAUGAAGAUUAUAGACCUCUUAUUUCAUUCAGAGAAAUUUGCCCUUGAUAUAAAUAUUCAUAGAGCUGCAUGUGUGGCUGUGUUUAUAACCAGCAGUGUGAAAUAAAUUAGGUUACUCAGGUUGCAUCAAAACAGAUAAGCAGAGUGAACUUCUCAGGGAAUUUGGAAGACAGCUGUAGUGGUAAUCCAAUCACAAAGAGCCAAAUGCUUUCCUUUGUAGUAAAAUGGCUACCCAUAUCACCUCCACAUGUGAAUAUGCAUUCCCAAUAAAGCAGGGCUAUACUACUAUAUGUACCUGCAUGCUGGGUAAUGUGCUAGCAGGAACGUCCAUAACUAAGGAUGCAUAGAUGUUGCAAUUUCAUAGUUGGUACUGGUAUUUUGGCAGCAUUUCUACAAGUUGUAUUGAGUAUUUCACAAAUAGCAGCCGCCUUUUGGAACCUGCUCCCAGGGCACAAUGGAUGAGCUUGUUUGUCUCCUCACACCAGUGCACGGAUGGGCUCUUGGCUGACUGCUGGCUGAAGCAUAGGAAAUUCCAGGUCAGAACACUCACUGUUCCACCUGAGAGCCAAGCCCUGGAGCUACUGAACAGAUCAUUAAGUAGGAUGUAAAACUUGUUCUGCCAGUCUGAAACCUUAUUUCCCUUUGACAGCAUGGUCAUCAUUAGAUUCCUAUGGCUGUUUAUUUCUAGGGGCCUUACUUCCCUGCUCCAAUCCUAACUAACUAAACCACACCAUGACCUAAGAACAUUUGACAAAUGAUUGAACUAUAAAAUUAGGAGUUAAUAUGUACUACAUGUUGAGAGAUUCUUUACCGAAUGGUGUGCUCCUGACCAGCUCAGCCACAGUUUUUUAUGGGGGAUACAAAUAUCUGGUGGGCUUGAAUGUCUUAUUUUGUUGGAGGCAAGAUUACAGAAAGCCAGAGUUAUAGUAGAAUUUCAAAGAAAUGGACAUUUCCUUGUUCUAUGAGGAGCGGCUGAGGGAGUUGGGAUUGUUUAGCCUGGAGAAGAGAAGGCUCAGGGGAGACCUCAUCACUCUCUGCAACUACCUGAAAGGAGGUUGUAGCCAGGUGGGUGUUGGCCUCUCCUCCCAGCUACCUAGCAAGAGGACAUAGUCUUCAGCUGUGCCAGGGGAGGUUUAGGUGGAUAUUAGGAAGAAUUUCUUCACAGAAAGGGUGAUUAUACACUAGA